UACAGAGGUGGCAAGCGUUGUUCGGAAUUACUGGGCGUAAAGGGCGCGUAGGCGGCUUGGUCAGUCCCGUGUGAAAUCCCUCGGCUCAACUGAGGAACUGCACGGGAAACUGCCUGGCUUGAGUUCGGGAGAGGGAAGCGGAAUUCCGGGUGUAGCGGUGAAAUGCGUAGAUAUCUGGAGGAACACCGGUGGCGAAGGCGGCAUCCUGGACCGACACUGACGCUGAUGAGCGAAAGCCAGGGGAGCAAACGGG
rnacentral:rRNA from 1 species